rnacentral:rRNA from 1 species
UACGAGGGGGGCGAGCGUUGUUCGGAAUUAUUGGGCGUAAAGCGUGCGUAGGUGGUUUGUUAAGUCUGUUGUGAAAGCCCCGGGCUCAACCUGGGAAUGGCAAUGGAUACUGGCAGGCUAGAGUGCGGUAGAGGGUAGUGGAAUUCCCGGGUGUAGCGGUGAAAUGCGUAGAGAUCGGGAGGAACACCAGUGGCGAAGGCGGCUACCUGGACCAGCACUGACACUGAGGCACGAAAGCGUGGGGAGCAAACAGG